rnacentral:misc_RNA from 1 species
GGAAAGUCAUUCUCAGCAAAUAUCAGUGACAAAUGUUGACCACAUCCAGAAGAUGAAUGAUUCACAGGGUAGAGAACCUUUUAUCAAGUAUAUCUUGGGAGGAUCUGCUGCAAAUGCUGCAUCUAUGCAGAGAGAUAUUGAAGCCUUUGGCCGAACUUUGAAGCCCAACCUUUCAAAUCAGAACUAUUCCCUAUUAAACCAAGUGCAGGCUAUCAAACAUGUGGAGGUCGAUCCAAGCAAUAGGGACUUCAAGAGAAUGAAAGUAGCAGACAGCAGUACACCCACUCCCAACAUUUCAGUGUCCCCAGAAGAAAAUUGUGGAGCACCU